UGAAAGCUAGUGUACCAACUUGCACAAAUAAAUUUGAAUUAUUAGGGGGAAAAACCAAUCCGCUUUCAA
rnacentral:tRNA from 1 species